GUAGAGCAGAGACUGAAAAUCCUCG
rnacentral:tRNA from 2 species